rnacentral:rRNA from 1 species
UACAGAGGGUGCGAGCGUUGUCCGGAAUCACUGGGCGUAAAGGGCGCGUAGGUGGCGACCCAAGUCGAUGGUGAAAGCUCGCCGCUCAACGGCGAGUCGCCACUGAUACUGGGUUGCUGGAGCACUGUAGAGGCAGAUGGAAUUCCGGGUGUAGCGGUGGAAUGCGUAGAGAUCGGGAAGAACAUCAGUGGCGAAGGCGGUCUGCUGGGCCGUUGCUGACGCUGAGGCGCGACAGCGUGGGGAGCAAACAGG